rnacentral:lncRNA from 1 species
AUGGGAUGUACUGUAAUCGCUUAUUUUAAAAACCUCCUGCGGGCAAAUUCUCAUUUUGCCAACAGUAUCUGUCCAUCACAACAGAAAGACUCACAAAGUACACAAAGAAAUGAGCUCAGCAGCUUUGAUUAUACUCCUCCAUCAUGUGCAAAGUUGGAUUCUCAACCCAGCAGUGAAGAAUUCACACUCUCAAGUGCAUGGCAGUCACUUGGGUUAUGCUUCCCCCCGGAAGAAUUAAGUAAUGACUUGUUACAGCAGUCCAGAGACUGUAAUCAUAAUAAUCUUUCACCAAAGACUGAAGAGACAAGAAGAUGUAAAAGCACUAGCCAAAGCAACACCAGUCAGUUAAAGCAUGUUAAUUGUAUACAGGAUGAACUGAAGAAUGAAACACGGAACAGUCACAGAAAAUCUUUUUCCUCAAGCUGUGACAUGUUUGAAUCAUCAGCACAUUUUAACAGCUCUACUGCAUGUGACACUAUAAAUCCACUGAUCCCUUUGUCCUGUGGAAAUAAUUCUGAAAUAAUUACAUCCGAACGCCUUAAAACCGGGGGAAAAUAUGAUGCACCUUUAUGUGAGAAGUCACUUUAUAGUCAUUCUGGUCAGAAUAUAUGUUUUGAUUUAGAGGACGCACCUUUAUCUGAAAGUUUACAAGAUUAUGUCAGCGUUGAGCCUCAGAUAUCAGAGAUAAUUGACACAAAGGAGCGCAUUUCAGCUAAAAGUGAUCAAAUGAUUCAAGUGCAAAAGAGAUGCUCUCUGACUGGAAAUUCAGUGGUCACAACCAUCUCAAAAACUCUACAAAUGCCUCUUUCUAGUGCAAAAUGGUCCUCACCAAUGUGCAAUGUGAACAACAUAAGCUGGAAAGAGAACAGUGAAAAUGACUGUCCAGAAAAUCUUGAAACUAAGAUGGACAAUGCUGAGAUCAGUAAGACUGUUUUGUGCAUUACCAAUUCUUCAAAAAAGAUGAUUCCUUUCAGUCCUGACAUUACGUGUGCAUUCAAUCGCUCUAGAAACGACAGGUUGUCUUUUUCAAACAAAAAAGAACUCGCUUUAGAAAGAAAAAAAUUAACUGGGAGCAGACCAUCUGUGGCUUUUUGUUCAGUAAACAAUGAAAAGGGCAAAUAUUUCAGGCACUGUACUCAAAGUGAGGUCCAUUCUGUAAAUUGCAAAGUCAAGCAGGAACAUACUGUGUUUGAUGACCAUGAGGAAAAGUACAAUUGCUCUGUAGACUUGUUUGCUUCUGGUCAGAGCAGUAUGAACAUGAACCUUUCGGAUGUGACAGAGAUUUCUAAAGUCAAUGAACCGAGGAAUGUCAACACAUCAGGGCCUGGAGGUUCAGGCUCUCUGCUUUUUUCACCAUGUUUGCAAUCCACCCAGUUUCUUAUUAUAACAACUCAUGUGGACAGAAAACCAGGCGAAGCCAGAAACGUGUAG